CAAGCCCCACCUGACCUCCCGAGUCCCAUCACUAAACCAGGUCUCCUAGUGCCACCUCCUGCCUCAGCCAAGACUUCGUUAGCAUGUAAUUGUCUCAGCACCUCGAAUCUCCUCCUUUGUACCCCGUCUGGCACUGCAGCCAGUUAAACAGCUCCCUGGGAAAGGGAACAGGCACCAAAAACACCUUCUCCUUUCUGACGUCUUCCACCACCUGCCCUCCCUCUUGAAGCCACGCCAGGUAUUUUUGGCAGCGGUGACAUCAGGGAACUUAUGACUGCUGGCAGUGCUUUACAAGUGCCUAGGUGGUUGGCUCAGGGCAGGUAGUUUUAGUUUCUCUGUUCUUUAAGGAGGCUUAAGCGAGCUCCACAGGCUUUUCCAUGGAAAAAUGUCUUUACCCCAAGGGGUGGCAGAUAGGCAAUGCACCUUGCAGAAUCGCUGCUUGGGAGGUGCUUGGGUUCCCUGCAGCAUAACCCAGGCUGGAGCCUGGGCUGUGUGCUGGUGAGAGCCCGAGCAGGCACCCAGUCCUAGAAAUCUUUUAUACCUUCCUUGAUCUCAUCUUUUCUUUUCUUUUCUUUUCUUUUCUUUUCUUUUCUUUUCUUUUCUUUUCUUUUCUUUUCUUUUCUUUUCUUUUCUUUUCUUUUCUUUUCUUUUCUUUUCUUUUCUUUUCUUUUCUUUUCUUUUCUUUUCUUUUCUUUUCUUUUCUUUUUCUUUUUCUUUUUCUUUUUCUUUUUCUUUUUCUUUUUCUUUUUCUUUUCAUCUGAGACAGCAGUGCUGAGCCAAUUCAUCUUAUCAAAGGGACUUUGGUACUUUCUACAGUGUGAGACUUCGUCCUUGACAGGACAGCAUGUGCACUCUGUGGAUGGAGCCCAGCGCAUGAGCUCAGGCCUCCAAUGUUGCAUGUAUUGGCACGCUGGUGAGCCCGUGCCAUUAAAUAUUAACACUUAUCUCAAUACUCCUGCUUUGCCCUGGGCCUGAUGCAGGCUCCUUUUCCCUGGAGUGCAGUGGCUGAAUGGUGUGGAGCUGCUGCAGUGCACGGUGCUGGGGGUGGGUGAGGCCUUGAGCUCGUGCCCUGCUUCUGUUUGGGAUGGCCUUAAUCGUUUCUGCGGAGAAGCGGCAACAGCUUGACUUCGGCAGUGAUUACACAGCUACACAAAGAUGCCAAAAGAGUAAUUCUGAGGGGAUGAACAGGACUGUGGAAAUUCACCCCCUGCAUCUUCCUCAGGUUGGUGGAGUCAGGGGAGGUGGGGAAGGUGGGGAUUGACGAUUUGCUGCUUUCCCCCUCUCACACAAACGUCAGAAAUCUCUGAAGAACUGUGCUCAUGUACAAAAGCUAACACAAAUGUGUGCACUCAGGGGAGUCUGAAAGGGAAACGGCCAUUUGGCCCGUUUGUCUUUAUCAUAUUGAUUCAGUCAAGUGCUAUAAAUGGAGGAGAAGCCUUUAAGUCUAAGUACCAGAGCGCUGUGCCCAUUUGAUGUAACGAGCACACUUUCGGGAAACCACCUGCUUUCCAGACUUCUGGGAGGUCAGCUCACGGGCUCGGAUAAAACUUUUUAGCUAGUAGAUGCCUGAAAAGGAAAGAAAAGCCUCUUCUUGCAGGUAUGCAAAUGUGCAGCAGGAUGUGCUUUUGCUGCGGGUGAAUUUCCAAACAAGCCAGAGCUGGCAGCGGCGGGUCCUUGCUGGGUGCCCAGACGUGUCCCACCAUGAUGAGGUCUUGGUGGUGACACGGACAUGCCUUAACCAAAAGUGUUGGCUCAGUGGUGGUGUGAGGAACUGCCCCUUUCAUGGGUAUUUCACAGAAAUUCAAAAACUCUGCACCCUGGAUCACCUCCACGCUCCACCCCUCCCCAGCUGCCAGUGCCUCCGUCUUGAUUUCUGCUCUACAGGAUUUCCUCCUGAGGCUUUCAGGCUUUUGCCCUGAAAAUCAGAGUUGCCUGAGCAAUAUUUUUUUUUUUGUCCCUGCCUACAUGAUGCAACUCCAGCGGGGCGAGAUAACCCCCCCCCUCCAUAAACCCCUCCCAGGCAGGCUGGCUGGCUGCCACUCGUGCUCUGCUUUUUGCAGUUACGCUCAUUUGCCUCGCCAAAGCAAACAUGGCAGAGGCACCUCGUGGCAAAGGCACUUCUCAUGCCACGUGCACUCGCAGCUGUCUGGUCACGGCAUUUGCUGAAUCCUGGUCCUCUGCCAGCUUCCUUCAGGCAUCAGGCAUGGUGGCGCGGCCUCAGAUCUUGCACCUGCCUAAGUGCUGGGCUGGGCGAUGGGAUGGGCUCCAUCCAUCCCACAUCUCCAAACACCCAUCUCUUCUCUACAUCUGCCUCCCACCACCACCUUCUGUCCCUUCUCCCCUCCUGCUUUUUCCUUACUAAUCCGUCCUUCUUUCUCUGGGGACCUGAUUUCUCCCUAUUUCUGCCCAUAUCCCCCUUCUCCCACACUCGGAUUCUCCCUCAGACCAACCUGGCUUUCCUCCCUCUCCUUCUAUCACCAACACUUCAUCAGCUCCUCAUAAGCUGAGGUGACCUUCACAUCCUCCCUCCCAGCCAGGUUGCUUUUCUACAGCAGUUGCACAUUUCCUUUUCGCAUCUUCUCUUUUUGGUGUUCAGCCACUCUUCUUGUGAGCUUCAGGCUACUGCUUCAUUUGGCUCACCUCCUCAUUUUCUCCUGUCUCCCCUCUCUUGACGUUCAUGCUGUUAAUCACUCUUCCCAACUAGUUUCCUUCACUUCCAAAAAGUAGGUUAGCCUGUGCUAGAGUCAAAAACACACCUUCUGUUGAGAGAAAAAGUUAGGAAAGCUCUUUUUGUUAAUAAACAUCCACAAAACACAGUAUUCUCAGUGCUUCUUAAACCAGAAACAAAAAUCAUGGAAAAAGAACAUAUCUUUCAUCUGAAACAAUUAGAAGAUAAUGGCACAGAAUGCUAAAAGAAAAGGAAGGCUGAGGAAGGAUGCUAGGACUGAAGACGAGAGGUCUCAGUACAGCUCUCUUAAAAAAUAAGUUAUCUGGGCAGAACAAUGUCUACCUGCUGGACAGGCAAAAGGUAUCUUAAGAAGUUUGUGAAGUAACCAGGGGAAGAUAAAUACUUGUCAUGAUGAAAAAUACGUGGUGCUAUCAAUAGUACAUAAUGGACUGAGAAUAAGGGUGAGAAGAAGCAUUGAUUCUGUGCCUGGCCGUGCUUUUAUUGAAGUCCAUGACCAAACCCCAGUCAAAAUCUAUAGCAAAAUUCAUUGGGAAACCACAAGACAGCUUUGAUCAGGUUGCAUCUCUGCGGCAUUGAUUUUCAUUUUAAGGUCACUUGACCUUUUUUUCUGGUUCAUUGAUUUUUUGCAGUUGGAUCUUCCUAAAAAAAGUAUCCAGAAGCCAGUCUGUGCCAUGUUACCCCAACAUUUACCUUUCCAGCUCAUUUAAAUAAAAGAGCCAAGGUAAACUUUGAGUAAUCAUUUAUGACUUCUUCUGCCACUCUUCUGUUUGUUUAACUGUGUGCCUGAAGAUACACGUGGAUGGAUGGCUCUUCGGCAGUCACUUCCCUGACCAUUUCCUUGUACCCCCCGCAGCGCUGCCCACGUAAUGGGCCAAGAAAGUCGUAGGAGCGCUGUGAGUCAGGCUCCAAUUUAUUUGCCCAAGUAUCUCUCUCAUUGCCUUGGGAGAAAAUUUGUGCCCAAGUAGGUGUGGACUUCGUCAGCGCCUUUGUGGACCUUUCGGGAAUCAGGCGGCUCAUUACGUGAAAAAAAAUGUAAUAAGCCAUAUGUCUUUAAUGGAUAGCAUAUUCCGGAACACGGCAGCUCAUCUCUCACUGCUGACGUAUUUCAUUUUUUGAUUGGCAUUUUUGAUAAAGGUAUGUAGAGCACCGUAAGUAUGUGAACUUUGCAGACAAUAUUUCUGACACUUCCUUUUUUUCCCACAGAAUUCAAGCAGUUUUGCCCAAAUUCUCUCUGCACCAGGCAUAGUUAGGAGUCAGGUAUAUGGGUAACAGCUGUGUUGAUGAACAUCUGAAUAUAGUUUGGGUGCUUCAUGAGGGACACGUGUCAGUUCCCAGGGUUUUGGCAGUGUCAUUGAUGCUUUGUAACAAGACCAUCAGCGAUUUGGAAGAGGAGCUGCAGCAGCUCUUCAGCCUUGGGUACCUCUGUCAGGCCCACAGCAAAUACUGGAGGGCAGUCACCCUGCACACACCAUCCAGCUCUGCUUCCGCUGAACACAUCGUCAGCAAUUUCCAUGCCAAAUCCCAAGAUAAGGGGUUACUCGCAGUCCCUCAUUGCAUGACCAAGGUCAUUAUCCAGGUUAAAGACCUGGUUAAAAACCCAAGGACUUUAUUCAGCACAGGUUACUCAGAGCCAUGUCUUAAAGCAGCUAGCCUGUAGGUUUGGAGAGAGGCUUCAGCAGACAGAUAUUUUUCAGUCAGGUUUUGCUCAGUUUCCUUCCAUCAGCUUCUUUAUUCUGGAAGGGGAAAUAGUCAGUGCUGAAGAGCAUCAACACCAGCCCAAAUCUUUGUUAUGUUUUAGGAUAACAAACUCAUUAAAUUAAUACCAGGAAUGGAGGAAGGGCUAGUUAGUGAGGUAUGGAAGUGCAGAAGCAUGAAUAUGGGGCACCGUUUUUCCUCCUCUCACCAAAAAUAAAUUAAAUGUCUGUGUUUUUCAUCCAAUAUCAAAGGCUUCUCUGUGAAUCAAAAUGAAGCAUUUUGUUUCAGUGCUUGGAUGAAAAGGAAAAGAAAGGAAGGGCUAGUUUCACAUAGCAGUGGUGCUUUUGGUUGUGCCUAUCAAGUAGCUCAGAGCUUAACAAAGAGCUCUUGCUUCUGCUGUCCUCUUUCCAUGAGAGGGUUUGAAUUGCUUAGGAAGGUGUCCAGCCUCCUGCAUAAUCUGGGACACAAAGGGAACCUCUCCUAAUCUCACCCUGUAGAAAUAGCCAUACAGUUGCAGGAACCUACUCAAAAACACUCAAGACCCAUUUACUAUAAUCUCCUUGAGGAGUUAAAUAGCCUUACCCCACCUUUUUGCUCUUUGGAUCAGAAGAAUGGGAAAUGUCAUGGAAAAUUUCUGCACCAAAAUGAUCACUUCUUGUGAAGUUACUGUUUAGCCAAGGAGCAUCAUUUCUUCAGAUCACUUCCCUGCCUCUGCCUGGCUGCCACCUGGAGACACCAGGGCUCUGGGAACAGCGGAGGACAAGGUAAAUGACACUUCUGCUUUAUCCUGCACCUGUGUUUCACCUACCCUUGUUAGGAAUCCAAGGGAGACUGGAAAAGAUUAUUUUUCUCUCCAAGUGAAAGGGGAGCACCACUUCCACCAUAAUACAAAAUGAAAACAUUACUCCCCUUAAAAAAAUAAAUAAAAAAAUAAAAAAUCUCUGAAAUAUCAAGAGGUAGAUCUGCACGUCCAACCCUGCAGGGCUGAGUCCUCCCUCUUCUGUGGCUUCCCUCUGUGUCCUUCCCAAGCCCAUGUAGCUGCCCUGUGGGGACACCUCGUGGUUCAAGAGGCACCUCUAGUUUGGGUGCUGUUGGCUGGCUUCAGGUAAACUGCACCUCUUCCUGCACAACCUGCACAAAACAUUUUAACUGUUGGUUAAAACUGUUGGUCCCAUCUGGGAGGUGAAACAUGAAGUCAAAUUUGGCGGUGGGAUCUAAACGAGACAAGUCUGGCCUAUAAUUUCUGCCAAAUGCUUACUCUUCUCCUAAUGAUUUUUAGCUGCUAACACCCAUUUCAGACAAAACCCAGAACGCUGCAUGAGAGAUUUGUUCUCCCUGAGUAUCUGUCACUUUUAGGUCACACCAACAGCCAGUUGAUAGAGGGAGGUGAUGUUCCGCUUUCCUUGGCACUUGUUAUGAAUUGUCUGAAUGCUGCACCCAGUUUUGGGGCCCCUGAAUCAAGAACAAUGUUAACGAACUGGAGAGAGCACAGGGGAGACCACCAAGAUGGUGUAUGAGGAGAGGCUGGAUUAGUUCUGCUUGAAGAAGAGGAGGCUUGAGGUAAACCUAAAAGUCAUCUAACAACACCUAUAAGGAGGCUCUGAGAAGACAGAGGCAGGCGCUGUCUUACGGAUGCACAGCAAGGGCACAAGAGACAUGGAUUGAAACAGAGGAGGUUCUCACUAGGUAUUAGGGGAGAAAAAAUCACUACCAGAUUAAUUAAGCGCUGGAGGAUGUUGCCCAGAGAGGCUGCCCAGUGUCCACCCUUGGUUUCAAGACCCAACAAGAUAAAGCUCUGAGCAACGUGGCCUGAUCUUGCCAUUGACAGUUAGGCCAGAGAGUAUCAAAACCAGACCAGAACACGGGCACUUCAUUAAUGGAGACUUUAAUUAAGUUAUUUAUUCUAACACAUGUCUAUUAGGCAUAGAGGGAAAAUUGUUAUUUUUCCUUUCACACUUUUUGUGUCUGUUUAAAAAUUCUGCCCACCUUGAAGCUAUACCAACACUCAUGUUACCCUUCUGGAAGAAGAAACCUUAGUACUCUUCCGACAAAACCACAUCCCUUUCUUCCAAGGACUUAGGAGAGGCAGUAGUCCCUCUGGAACCAACAUGUAUGUGCAUCCACAGAUAUUUUUCCUCUUCUAGAGCUGUGCCUGCCAUGUGUUUGUGGUAAAGACUGGCCUCUGGUUUGUGGUGGUGGCUGGCCGUGGGCAGGGAUGUGACAGAAUCCGGGUGAAGAUCUGCGAGAGUCUCACUGUUGUCAUGCUGAGUGCGAAAGAAGUCUGGGAUGACCUACAGAGGAGAAAAUCUGUUUAUUUUUUUAUACUGGAGAGAGGUGACAUGCUCUUCAUUUCUGGUGCAUUUGUCAUGCUGGCCUCCUGGUGGAAAGCCCAUCUGUCUGAUCUCUUCUUGCAGCUUUCUUUAGCACGAGAGAGACUAAUCAUCUGGGACCAUGUGUUGUUUUUAUGAGAUGUCUCCGGUGCCUGCACAAAACUUCCUUAGCUGCAAAGUCUGCAUGGGCAUUUUUAUCAUGGGCUUGAUCAGCUCAGGUGCAGUAUGACUUACAGAAGCCUUACUGGAUCCAAAUGGAUCCAAGGCAGGUCUGAGGUGCCUGGUGGACCUCAAGUGCAGUCCUCACUGUACUGGGUCUAGUAAAACCACCAUACUCACACACCUACAGCUGAUCCAUUGCACGCAUCCAGAACCCCACCGUCAGCCCUCGUUGUCACCAGACUGCUGCCCCAAGCAGGAAUCUCCAUCCCUCAGCAUGGCUCACCACCUCAGCUUAAGGCAAACAAGCUGUGUAUUUGCUUUGCCAGGGCUGUGUUGUAAAGCCACCAUCUCCCCGUGCGUCACGCAGCUCCGAGGAGGCGGCUGAGCCAAGUGACAUGUGUGUGAACCCAGCCUGUUCGGGAGAAGUCCUGCUCCCUCUCCCUGCGUGACCUCGAGGUCUUUCCGUUCCUGUUAUUGCCUAUAUAAAACCAUAUAUAUUUUUUUCCCCUCAGAGAUUUGUAUUUGCUUUAUUACUAAAACAAAUAAUCUACUUGGGAAGAAGAAAAAAAGAGGAUUUGUUCUCUCUGUGAAGACCUGUUUGCCUAACAGAGGCUGAUUUUUCCAAAUGCAUCAGCAGCUACAAUAAAAGACGUUGUCCCUCCCUGCAGUUAUCGCUCUGCCUAUAAUCUUAGGUACUGCCUGGACGCCUGGACAUCCACAUGGAAAAACAGCAGCUAUUUUUCAUUGUUUACUUUGUUUCUUACGCAUAUUUAUAAUGCAUGAGUAACUUUACAGAGUGCUUCUACAGGAACAUCCAGAAAUGAUCUCCCCACCGAGGUGACAAGGCGGCCACGUGGCUCAUAGCAAGAAGGGCCCAGAACAGGCAAAAGCAGGGUGUGGUGAGGACUUGCUUCCCUCUUCUGCCAUAACAAAGACUGAGGGCAAGCAGCUUGAGCCUUUUCUGUUCAGUGAAGACAAACUCUGACAGAUACGUGGUGGAGAUGAGGAGCAGGUCUGCCUUACCAGCCUCCCCCACAGCUCCGGCCCUCCGCCAUUUUCUUUCACCACAGGCGUGACAGGCCUGCGCCCUGUUUUGCACAAAGGCUCCCUCGAUUGUCAGUGCCAAGCAGACUCAAAAACCCAUAAGGUCUACAUUUCCAAAAUGCAGGAGCACAGAUGACUUUGGAAAGGUCCUCUUCCCCUCACUGCUAGGUCCUCUUCCCCUCACUGCUAGCUCUCCCCAGCCAGCAAGCCAGGGAAGCUCCAUGGGGUUAGUAGAGAACAUAAUUUCUUCUGGUCUACUGCUCAGAAGCCAGAGGGGGAAGGUUGAAGAGGGGUGGAAGGACAAAAAGAAGGCUGUAGGGCCUUCCAAGCCCACCUCCUUCAUUGUCUCCCUGUGUCUGAUAGUGCUCCUGGCUCAUGGAGCACCCAAGAAAGCGGAGGAAAUGUGGAUGGGCCCAGAUCCAGGCACGGUGGCCAACGCAACACCCAGCUCGUGUGGCAAAGCCCCAGAGAUGGCCCAAAAGCAGGGAGUGAGGAGCAAAGCCAGCAGACCAAGUGAAUCAGCAAGCAUCUGAGCGAAAAGCUUCAUCUUCUUUGGCUCAAAUUCUUGGCUGGUGUAUUAUAGAGAAAACCUGAGUGCCAGACCCACACAUGUGGCAAGCAACAUGAAAACAGCGUGUGUGUGUGCGUGGGAUGACAGAAAGACAAACAGAUACACGGCACCCUGCUAUUAAAGAAAACAAAGCUCGGAGAGCCAGAGCUUGGGAACCUGAGUGAGAGCAAAGAGAUGGGAGGCUGGCGAAGGAGAAGAAAGCCUCGAAAAAAACCACCCUGACGCCUGAUGUGCUGCUUUCCCAAGGUACUGCAAAUCAAAGAGGAUUUCUUCUGGGAAGAACAUGCUGAGUAGAAAGCCAGGUCCUUCUAGCAAAAACAGUCACAGCACUGCAGGAAAGCUUCCCUUUCCAAGAUGAAUCACUUUCCAAAAAAGCCAACCUCAUCUCCUGCGGCCGUACAGAGAAACGGGAAUGGCUGGAAACACACCAGCUGCCUCCCCCCAUCCUCUGGGUAUUUCAGUGCAGUGAUAUCAGCAGGACCCAGCCCUGCAGAGGUGGCCCCUGGCUGUUUCUGAGCAUACUCAGGUCCUGAGACAAAUCAGACAAAAGGAGCAGCCCUGGCCAGAGGGGCUGUGGAACAAAGAGUCACAACUGACUGACACGACCUCCUAGGAUAAGAGUAUUUGCUCCAGAAGUCUGGUGUCACUCCAGGGAUGUGCCACUUGAGCAUCCCUGGAAAAGGGUUUGUGUUGGAGGUUUGCUCUCAUUACCAAAACAGCUUUGGCGUUUCUGCUUUGUGAAUGGUGCAGGCAAGAUCUCCUGAAUCUUCAUGCACAAAAAUCAUGUUGGUGAGAAGUGUACGUGCACCCAAACAAGCUCCAGAAGCUGUCUCUGCUGCUGUCUGACCCACGAAGCAGAGACAGAAGCACUAUUUCCCAUGCAGCUCAAAAAUCCGUGUUAAAAUUGCUGUCCUCAACUCUAUCCUGGCAUAAAUACCAGCUUGUUCCAUCACAAAUUGUUCUUAGAGUAAAAUCAUAUCAGGGAUACAUGCACUGCCCUUUUCCAGAGCAGUCACUGAUAAUAAUGAGUUGAGGAGGGCAGGGACCGUCCAUGCCAGACCAGCUGAGAGCAGAAGCAGCCCUUCCACAGUCCUCCUUUCUCCAAGGCUUUCCUGCUUAGAAACCACCUGCACAACCACCCACAGCCCGUGGAGUUGUGCUUCUCACUCUCGCCACCCCGAGAAUCUGCAGCUGGUUCCCCACCAGCAGAUGUACCAGGAAAAACACUUAAGAUGCAUUGUGACUGACGGCCAGCGAUGAUGUGGAGAGAGCACCAGGAAGAGGGGAUAAAGAAGGACCUCCUGUCAAUAAGGAAUGACAAUUCUGAAUUAGAAAAUCACCCCAAAAGCUGGAUGCAACGACCCAGCCAGAGCAGCACCAGAGCGAUAUGUAACAGGCCCAGCGUGCUCCUAAGUCAGCUGCCAAAUUUAUUUUUUCUCCUCUAGCUGAUAACGAAUCCAUGCUGGAAGCUCGUGCCCAGCCCUGCUGCUCUUGAACUCUGAGUCUGCAAACAGCUGUGCGGUGACAAGUCUGUUAGUUUAGGCUAUUUUGGGAAGCAACCUGUCCUUUUUUUAGUCAUGAAGCACAUGAAAGGCACCACGGCAAAAUUUGGAUGCAAUUUCACAUCUUGAAAUUGCCUAGGCCUGCACUCCUUAUCUUUUCCUGUGCUGUCGCAAUGACACGGUGUAACCAGCAGCAGCACCCCUCUGGAGGCUCCCUGACCCCAAGCUGUCCUCUGCUGACCUCCUGCACAUCCCCAGGGGACUCGGGCUUCCAGUGAAUGUUCCUGAAGGUUCCUCAAAAAGCUGGGGAGCACUCUCCUCCUGCUGCAGCUUCCACUUCUUUACAAAGCUGAAGAGCAGCUGUCAGCCCAGAGAUGUGCUCCCUUCUCCACAGCCAAAGAGGCGAGGUUUGGCCAUCAUCAUGCGAAGGGAACACACGAUGUGAUCGUGGACUAGAUGCUGCACAUACCAUUUGCCAUGCUCCUCUGCAAAGCUGACGCUUCGAAACUGCCAGAAUGUUUUUCAACCAAACCGGGUAGUUAACACAAACUAAUUAUUUGCAUUUUGAGCUGCAAAUAGUUAUAUUUACAUAACUUCCACUUCCUUUUCAUCUGAGCAGUCAUCAUACUCCGGGAUUUGCUACUUCAAAUGUAAAAUGUCUUUUUUAAAACAGACAAACCAAAUAAAAACAUGGGCAGCAAGGGGAAAAAAUAUUGCUAACAAACUCUUUUCAGUAGAAUUGCCCUAAUUUUUGUUAAAUUAGGUACUUUGAGAGCAUGCUGCAUCUGUUUUACUUGCCAGAGUUCUUUUGCCUUACCUUAUGCAAUGCGAGAUUCAAAUCACGUUGAUUUACUAUGACAUGAUGCCUUAUUUAUAAGCCCAAAGUGUGAAUCUUUAUGGUGAGCAUCAGCAUAAUGUUUAGAUUCAUUUAUAUGAGAUAGAGUUUCUAGCUUCACCUGCAGUCACUGUGAAAAAUAGCAAGAGGAGAAAAAACAACAAUGCAAGAAAAACUGAAAAUCAAUUUUUUUUGUUCAUUGGGGAACAGCUUUAUUUCUUCUCUCAAAGAAUUCUUGCUGGGAAUGGAAAGCUGUCAAGAAACCACAAGAACAUCAGCUUUGCAGAACCGUCUUGAUAAGCUUUCAAUAGCACGGAGGGAGGAUUUGGGAUCCGCAGGGUUUUCCAGGUUCUUCUCAUGCCAAAAAUCCAGGGACUCCCCGACAAAGCAUUCCAGUCACGCAGAACAGCUUCCUCUCCUCCCUGGGAGCCUUUCUGCUGAUGCAUGAGCUCAGCCAGCAGCCCUGAUGUUCUUAGCUGCUCUAUCUAGAAACCUUCCAGGAGUGGGUUUUGCAAUUCAAAUCUUGAUUUCCCCUGGGGUUCGGUUCUUGAGGAAGAUUUAUGUGUCCUCAUCUUGGAGUUGCUGCUUGGAGCCCCAACUUUUGUUCUCUCGGGGAAAUAACCAAGCCAAUAAGUGGAAGUGAGAUUCCUUGCUAGCCAGGAACUCUGUGUUUGCUGAAAGUACCCUCCUUGCUAACUAAAGAAUGCCUUUUAAUACUUAUCCACUUAAAGUUGUUUAGAAGAUAAAGGGGGUGUCUAAGGCUCAGUGGCUUUCAUAGACCCACUUAGGUCAGAAGCCACCCAGCCCAAACUCCUGCUGAAUGCGAGGCCAACCUCUACCUGUCUGCCCAAGGCUACAUCCAAGCUUCCACAACUCCUCUGGUUGCUCCAGUACGUGAUCAUCCUCAGACUUCAUAACUCAGUUUCUGGUGUUCCGACCUGUGUCUGUUGCCUCUUGACCCUCCACUGCAUGCUGCUGAGAGAUCUGGCUCUGCUUUCUCUGCACCUUCCAUUUUAGUAGCUGUUGACAGUAACAUCUCCUGAGCCUUUCCUUCUCCAGGCUGAACGCCCCGUCUCUUCUCAUACAUCACAACCUCCAUCACAUUACUACUCAAAAACAUAAUAAUCCCCGGAUAGGAACAUCUCAAUGAAAAGCAAGAUUCAACUUUCCUCUUAUCUGUAAGAGCCUCUAAGCUAGAAGGAAAAGGGAUGGCUACUACUCCUGGUUUCAUGCGCGUAUUUUCAUAUGCCUGCUACACCAAGAAGAGCAAAGCUGCCUGCAGAAACACUGCACUUAUUGGGGCUUUUGUCAUUUUGCACAAGAGCCAGCUAACCAUAGAGGGAGGAAUCUCCCAGAAAUCUAAAACCUAGAGGAAUUAGAACAAAUGCAAACAAUAUCCACCACUCACUAGUUUGAGAGUUUUGAGGUAGUGGGCUGGUAGUUAAGCAUGUGGUCAAUAAGAAUUAGGAAGACUUCUGGAAUUAUUUCACAGAAACAUGGAAGAAAUACAGUGUUUAAAAUUUGUAACAUGAGAUGAAUCAAUUUAGGUAGUGUUAACCUGAGAUAGCAUGAUCAGAUAGUCUGUCAAGUGCUGAGGUCAAUUAUGCGAUUGUUCUGACACACCAAGUGUUGUAAGCAUCACUGGACAUGGAUAUGUUUUCACCUGGAAAAGGCUGCUUUAAAACAACCAACCAAAAAAAAAAAUACAACCUGGAAAGCCAGAUCUUCACUUUCUUUUUUUAAAAAAAAAAAUGUCUCCCCGCAUUGUAAUAAUUCUGUAGGUAUGGCUUAAAACAUACCGCAAGAUUUAUCACCUUAUUUAUGAUUUUCAGGCACGGCUCUGUACUUUUUCUUUUCAUUAGCUCAUAGCCUUUUCAAGCAGAGUUGUGUGAAGUAUAGCUAUCCCCUGUAACAUUCGCUGUAAAGCACACUGCUUUAAAACAAGAUGCAUCAUGGUAAUUACUGGCAUGAACACCUUUGGUCCCUUGGCUCAUGUUGAAAUUAAAUUUCACUGACUCGGUGUGCAGCACCAGAAGGCACUCAUCACAUUGGCAGCUUUCCUUACUUCCCUAAUUCCUGUAGGAGGUUCCCAAAUUGUUAUGAAAAGAGACAUACAAAAUUUGCUUCUCAGCUUUGCUCCAUUUUCUGAAAUGCUUGUUUUUUCCCUUUCAACUGAUUAUGUUUAGUACUUCUUUGCAACAUGCCAUCAUUUAAUUUAGCAACUACAGUAGCAUUACAAGAGCAACUUAUUUUAAGGAUUAGCUUACCAGUGUUUGCUGAUGUAUUUUAUAUUCCAAUUAAUAAAUCCCCAAAGAAACCACUUCUUUUGCUUAGAAUACAUAAAGGCUUUUAGAUCUGGUAUUUUUUCCUUCCCUCUCUAAAAUGGUUAUUUCUUCAAUCCUUUGUUUUGGUUUGUUGUCCUUAACUGAUGGAAAUGAGAUGAAUCCAGCUGUGACAGACUCAAGAUUUACUUCAGUACAAGACAUGUAUUGGAACAGGGCAGACAAAAACUUAGCACGAACAUCGUUUAAGCAAAAAUCCCAUUACCAUGAGAGUUUGUACUCUGCAAGCAUGGUGGGACGUACUUGGUGCUCAGAAAACAAGUAGAACACAGAGCACGUCUAAGAAAUUCCCUGAACAAACCUAGUCCAAAACUUGUAAUACGUAAGG